rnacentral:lncRNA from 1 species
AUUUCAGCAAUUGAAAAAAUUUAGGACCCAUCAUUGAAGGUGCACAUUUUCACUCAAUGAAUGCAAAAAACUACUCUGCAAUAGCUGCAUUGCAUUAUUCAGGAUUGAAUUUUCUUUAUUCCAUUUCCAUGGCAUGUAUACAUAUCAACAGGUUAAAACAUAUAGAGAAUCAAAAGUUUGACAAAAAAAACUAUUAUGAUUAUAAAACAGUGUCAACUGUUUAUAAUUAUUUCCAGCUCACCAAUAACAUUUUAGAAAAUGAAUUACAAAAAAAUCUUCAAUCUAUUCUAAUCUGACCCCUCAUUCAUUACAAAAUUAUCUCUGCUGUCCUUUUCUAAAAAAAGUUUGGGGAUUCCUGACCUAGUGUAUCCAGGUUUAAUUCCAGGUCUUAUAUUCCAAAUAUUAAGAAAGAGAGCUGGAGCUAUCUUAAUAUUUGCAUAGAUAUCCAGCUCUUCAAAUCCCAUCUUUCAACAUGAGUUAGGUUAAGUUAUUUUGAAUUACACCAUCUGAAUCACAUGAGAGAUAUUUCAUGGUGAUAACUUGUUGAGCCAGUCACAGUUUGACCAAUACCCAUGAUCAGGGCUAGAUUAUCCACUAGCCAUAAUAGGCAUGUGCCUAUCAGUUCCUGACAAUAGGGGACCCUAAAAACAGGACCCCUAUUGUCAGGAACCCAUAAGCACAUGCCUAUUAUUGAAAGAUAUUGAUCAAUUUUAUAAUUUAAUUCAAAGAUUUGUGCCUAUGGGCCCAAAAAAUUUUAAUCCAAUCCUGAUGAGGACAGUUGGAAUGUUCAAACAUAGAUUAGUGAGCUGGACUCAGAUCCUUCCUGAAAAACUGGAGCUGUGGGUCUGAAUUUUCCAUGAUGGUAAAUAAUUGCGUUAUUAUGCAGCCAUCUGGCCAGUACCAUCCAGUAGCAGUCAUUUACCACCUUGGAAGAUCCAGAUUUGAUUCAAGUUCCAUACUUCCAAAUUUAUCACGAAGAGUCCAGACUUGAUCUACUGAACCUCAUCUUUCAGUUUUCCUCUUGACUUAAGUAGAAGUGCGAGCAUUCUUUGCUGGCCAUUGGAAUGUCCUAUUGCUUAGCAACCACAUUUGAAAAGUGCCAUAAAGUCACACGGAGAUUUUGUAAUGACAACACUCUUUACUAAUCUUAAAGAAAAUGGUAUAAAAACUGGAAAGAAAAUGUGGAAUGUCUUCAAAAACAUAUUUUCUGUCUCUCUUUCCAGUUUUUACAUCUUUUUAUGACAUUAGAAUACUGGCAGUAAGUCUUUUGCAAACUUACUACCAGUACUCUGUUGUCAGCAAGCAUGGAUGACUAAUGAUGAUGCAACACAACAGUGAUAUUGAUUGUAAGUUAACUGCAAGUGAUAAAAUAAAUUUUUAUCACCAUGUGUAGCAAUUUCAAAUGUCUGGUAUUCUUUAGCAAUUUCAUAAAAUAGUUAGCUCCUGCAGGUGGGGGCCAGAAUUCACCCGACGUUUGGCCUGCGUGUCGUAAGAGGCAACUAAAGGGCCCCCAAUCUUAAGGU